rnacentral:SRP_RNA from 1 species
CCGCCGCAGCGCAUGAACUUGGACGAGGCGUGUCCUGCCACAUAGAGGGCUUGGGAGUGGUGCGCUGCGGGAGCCUUGCGGCAUGGAAGGAGCAGAAGGCCCAAGAACGGGUCUGGGCGGAAAAGCAGCAAGAAGAGGGUUGCGCCGUGGUUGUUUUGGAAGUAGCGGGCGAA